rnacentral:rRNA from 1 species
GAGUUUGAUCCUGGCUCAGGAUGAACGCUGGCGGCGUGCCUAACACAUGCAAGUCGAACGAACCAGAUUCGGAUUCUUCGGAUGACGGAGAUGGUUAGUGGCGGAUGGGUGAGUAACACGUAGGUGACCUACCCCGAUGAGGGGAAUAACCAUUGGAAACGAUGGCUAAUACCCCGUGUGGUCGACAAUUCGGUUUGUCGAUUAAAGCUUCGGCGUGUCGGGAGGGGCCUGCGGCCCAUCAGGUAGUUGGUAGGGUAAUGGCCUACCAAGCCGAUGACGGGUAGCUGAUCUGAGAGGAUGAUCAGCCACACUGGAACUGAAACACGGUCCAGACUCCUACGGGAGGCAGCAGUGAGGAAUAUUGCGCAAUGGACGAAAGUCUGACGCAGCAACGCCGCGUGGGUGAAGAAGGCCUUCGGGUUGUAAAGCCCUUUUCUGGGGGAAGAGAGAGGACGGUACCUCAGGAAUAAGUCUCGGCUAACUACGUGCCAGCAGCCGCGGUAAAACGUAGGAGGCAAGCGUUAUCCGGAUUUACUGGGCGUAAAGCGCGUGUAGGUGGUACUGUAAGUAGGGCGUGAAAGCUCCUGGCUCAACUGGGAGAGGCCGUUCUAAACUACAGAACUAGAGGAUGGUAGAGGGAGGUGGAAUUCCAGGUGUAGCGGUGGAAUGCGCAGAUAUCUGGAGGAACACCGGUGGCGAAGCGGCCUCCUGGACCAUUCCUGACACUCAGACGCGAAGCUAGGGUAGCAAACGGGAUUAGAGACCCGGUAGUCCUAGCCCUAACGAUGUAGA